UACGUAGGGGGCAAGCGUUGUCCGGAUUUAUUGGGCGUAAAGCGCUCGCAGGUGGUUCGUCGCGUCGUGCGUGAAAGACCCCGGCUCAACUGGGGGAGGUCGUGCGAUACGGGCGAACUGGAGGCCAGUAGGGAGAUGCGGAAUUCCGGGUGUAGUGGUGGAAUGCGUAGAGAUCCGGAGGAACACCAGCGGCGAAGGCGGCAUCCUGGACUGGUACUGACGCUCAGGCACGAAAGCGUGGGGAGCAAACAGGG
rnacentral:rRNA from 1 species